AACGAACGCUGGCGGCAGGCCUAACACAUGCAAGUCGAACGCUCCAGCAAUGGAGAGUGGCAGACGGGUGAGUAACGCGUGGGAACCUUCCCUAUGGUUCGGAAUAGCCCAGGGAAACUUGGGGUAAUACCGAAUAAGCCCUUCGGGGGAAAGAUUUAUCGCCAUUGGAUGGGCCCGCGUCGGAUUAGCUAGUUGGUGGGGUAACGGCCUACCAAGGCGACGAUCCGUAGCUGGUCUGAGAGGAUGAUCAGCCACACUGGGACUGAGACACGGCCCAGACUCCUACGGGAGGCAGCAGUGGGGAAUAUUGGACAAUGGGCGCAAGCCUGAUCCAGCCAUGCCGCGUGAGUGAAGAAGGCCUUAGGGUUGUAAAGCUCUUUUGCCAGGGACGAUAAUGACGGUACCUGGAGAAUAAGCCCCGGCAAACUUCGUGCCAGCCGCCGCUGUAAUAC
rnacentral:rRNA from 1 species